AAUUAUAACUCAAAGCUAUAUGUAGCAAGAUAAUAUCUAUACAUACAUGUUGACGGUUGUUUCACAUGGUAUCAGAGCAGGAGGUCCUGAGUUCGAGUCACGUCAGGCUCCUAGCAUAUUAAUUUCCUCCUAUUUAAUUUAAGCCCACGUCAUGGGCCGACUAAAAAGUUUCGAGUCCAGACGUGAGGGGGAGUGUUAAAUAUAAAAAUGUUUAAACACCGUUCUCUAAUAGCUUAAGUUUUUAGAGUACAACGGUUGUUUCACAUGGUAUCAGAGCAGGAGGUCCUGAGUUCGAGUCACGCCAGGCUUCUAGCAUAUUAAUUUCCUUCUAUUUAAUUCAAGCCCACGUCAUGAACCGAUUAAAAAGUCUCGAGCCCAGACGUGAGGGGGAGUGUUAAAUAUAAAAGUGUUUAUAUAAUUUUAUAUUCAACACACACAUAACUUAUUUCUUCAAAUUUUGCACAAGCACACACAACUUAUUUCUUCAAAUUUUCCACAA
rnacentral:lncRNA from 1 species